CCUAAUUAGUGAGAGAGAUGGGAGAAGAAAGCUCAAACGCUGCUCAAAUCGAAGAGACGGUUCUACAAAUUCUUAAAGCGUCGGAGUUGGAGACGGUCACUGAGUUCGGCGUGCGUUCCGCCGCCGCUGAGCUGCUAGGCUUCGACCUCUCCGGUUUAGACCACCGCCUGCUCGUUAGGCAGCUGGUCGAUUCCUUCCUGCUAUCCACGGCAGCGGAGAUUCUUCGGACCAAUUCAUUCAAUAGGAUUCCUGACGGCAGUGGCAGCGAUAAACGCGCUGUUCGUCACGUCCAGCAGCGGCGGAAGGAUGUUGAUGCUGUAUCGGGAGCGAAUUACGAUGGAAAGAUUAUCUGUAAGUUAUCAGACAAGAGGAGGGUAACAGUUCAUGACAUUAUGGGGGCAACUGUGAUCUCAAUACGUGAUUUCUAUGUACAAAAUGGAAAUUUGCUUCCUGUAAGAGGUGGAAGCUCGGGAAUAAGCUUGACAUCUUCGCAAUGGUCAUCAUUCAGAAAUAGUGUUCCUUCAGUAGAGGAGGCCAUUGUUAGAAUGCAAUCGCGGUUGAGUGAGUCUGGAGCUGUUACAAGUCAAAGUGAAGCAGACAUGACAAAUCAAUUUACCGAGUUUGCUAGUGAGAAAAGCCAAACUGCAAUAGGUGUUUCUAAUUUGGCAAGUGCUAUUCACCUUCCUGGCAAGAGGAAACGGCAUCAAAGUGAACCAGACAUGAGAAGUUCAGCAUCAGACCCUGCUGAAAAAGGUCCAGCACGGACGGCAAUUUCUAAUUUGGUAAGCAACGUUCGACCUCAUAACAACAGAAAACAGAGUGAGGUUGAUACAUCUGAUGCAUUAAUUGCCUCCAUCUCUCAAGAGCAUAUUCUUGCGGAGAAAGCGCAAGAAGCACCAGGUACUUGUGGAACAACUUCUACUUCCAGCUAUCAAGAACAGAUUCCUGCCUGUAGAACUGAAGUGGCCUCUCAAAACUCUACUCUGGUGCCUCCACUUCCUAAUCAACUUGAUAGCACUGCUGCACUUUCUCCAAAUGAUGGUGUUAGUCGAAGGCACUCACAUCAUACAUCUAUUGCAAUUCCUCCUGAACAACUGAUCCCUAUACAGCCUGUUCGUUUUGAUGGAAGAAAUUACUAUUCCUGGAAGAUUCAAAUGGAGAUGUUCCUAACUCAGUUGAGCAUAGCAUAUGUGCUUUCUGAGCAAUGCCCCGACAUAUCUUUGAAUCCAGAAGCUAGUUUUGAAGAGAUGGUCGGAGCCAAGGCUGCCGUGCAAAGGUGGAUUACUGAUGAUUAUUUGUGCCGCAAUAAUAUAUUGAAUUCUUUAUGUGACAGUCUUUUUCAAUUAUACUCACAAAAAAGCUCAUCAGCUGGUGAGCUCUGGGAGGAACUUAAAGCAGUGUACAAUGAAGAUUUUGGAAACCAAAGGUCACAAAUCAACAAAUAUAUUAAUUUUCAAAUGGUUGAUGGGGUAUCAAUUUUUGAUCAGAUCCAAGAACUGCACAAAAUUGUUGAUUCCAUUAUUGCUUCUGGAACAUGGGUCGAUGAAUACUUCCAUAUAAGUGUUAUAGUCAGCAAGCUCCCACCUUCAUGGAAGGAACUCCGCCUUAAACUGAUGCAAGAGGAGUUUUUAACUCUUAAUAUGCUGAUGCAUCGGCUUCGGGUCGAAGCAGAUUCUCACAGCUUCUUCAACAAAGAAGCAAACUCUAAGAAGGGUCGUCAUGUUACAGAGCCGAAGAUUGACCAGAGACAUAGAAUGAAGAAAGAUGAAAACAAAAGAGCAUGCUUUACUUGUGGCAAGGAGGGGCACAUCAGUAAGUACUGUCCUGAUAGGAAGUUUGAACCCGGCGAUAAGAGCAAGGGCAAGGAGAACGGAUUCCUCUCCUCAUGUUCAGGCACCAAAAUGGAUGCUGCAGAUAAAAGAGCUUGCUUUAUAUGUGGCAAGGAUGGGCACGUUAGCACAAACUGUCGAAAUAGGAAGUUAGAACCUUGUGCUAAGAGCAGCGGUGAGGUAAACGGAUCUCUGUCUCCUCCAACAGGCUCCAAAAUGGAUGAUGCAGCAAAACCAAAGUAAAUCAACUCUCCUUCCGUUGCUACACUUCGAAAAGACUCCUCCAUGAAAUUUUCUGAGGGAUAAUGCACUAUAAUUGGAUGACCAUUUCCAAACCUCUACUUUUGGAAGCCAUUUCGACCAGUUCUUUUUAGGGUGGCUGAUGCUUCCCUUUCUGGAAUCGGUUGCAAUUUUGUACAAGACAUAUAGUACUUCUGUGCAGUAAGUAUUCUUCUCUUGCUUAGUAGGAGUGUUAGAUUUUGGUCUGGAGAACGUGAAUGGCGAUUUAUAGGAAGUGUUAGUUUUCUUUCUUGAAGUACUUCUUUGGUGUUCUUGAUACUAGCCUGAUAUUUUUUUUGAUCAUUAAUAGAUUGGUGAAUCUGCCUGCCCUAAAUUUUGUAAUCUCAGUUGGCAUCAAACAUGCUGUCCGAAUACUGGAAAUAUAAUUUCAACCGCUUUGUUUUAUUUA